GUUGAACGCUGGCGGCAUGCCUUACACAUGCAAGUCGAACGGCAGCACGGACUUCGGUCUGGUGGCGAGUGGCGAACGGGUGAGUAAUGUAUCGGAACGUACCUUUCAGUGGGGGAUAACGUAGCGAAAGUUACGCUAAUACCGCAUAUUCUGUGAGCAGGAAAGCAGGGGAUCGCAAGACCUUGCGCUGAUUGAGCGGCCGAUAUCAGAUUAGCUAGUUGGUGAGGUAAAGGCUCACCAAGGCGACGAUCUGUAGCGGGUCUGAGAGGAUGAUCCGCCACACUGGAACUGAGACACGGUCCAGACUCCUACGGGAGGCAGCAGUGGGGAAUUUUGGACAAUGGGGGCAACCCUGAUCCAGCCAUGCCGCGUGAGUGAAGAAGGCCCUCGGGUUGUAAAGCUCUUUCGGCCGGGAAGAAAUCGCAUGGGCUAAUACCCUGUGCGGAUGACGGUACCGGCAUAAGAAGCACCGGCUAACUACGUGCCAGCAGCCGACGG
rnacentral:rRNA from 1 species